AGAUUGUGUGCGUGCGUGUUUGUGUGUGUGUGUGUUAAUGAGAGAGAUGUCCAGGAGAUCAGGCAAUUGUGUGAGGUGCUGUCUCGUAAUAUUUGCUGUAGUUUCAGCUCUAGCUGUGUGUGGACCUGCUCUGUUUUGGAGAUUUAAGAAGGGAGUUAGUUUAGGUGAUAACAAAUCUUCUUGUCCUCCUUGUAAUUGCGAUUGCCCUCCUCCUCUUUCUCUUCUCAAGAUUGCGCCUGGUAAGUGUUGCUUUCAUGAUUUCUGCUUGUGGGUUGUUUUCAAGUCAUGAGCUUGAUUGAUUAUACGCUGAUUAGAGUGAUUUUGAGGAGUAUCUAUUUCAUCGAGUUGAUAUCUUUGAUCUACUGUUUAUGCCUUUUACUCAGCGGCAGGUUUUAAUGAUUUCUGUUUGUGGGUUUUGCUUUCAAGUUUUGAUUUUGUUUGAUUGUAUGUGGAUUAUAGUGAAUUUGAGUAGUUCUCAUUUUAUCAAGUUGAGAUUUUGAUUUGUUGGUAUAGCUCAUUUUUUGCUAUCUGGGUUGCUGUCGAGUUCUGAUUGGUUAAAUGCUGAUUAGAGUAAAAUAAUUAGCUUGAGGUUUUGAUCUACAGUUGUUGCUAAUUUUGAUGUCUGAGCUUUGUGUAUAAUGGAAUAGUUGCAAUAGAAUGAGGAAUAAAUUCUAAUUCAAGUCAGAUUUAUUUUCCAUUCUUUUAUGAUAUAAUUAAGGUUGCUUAUGUCAUCAAAUUUUGAGGUUCUGAUCAGCUGUUAUUGGUGAUUCUUGGUUUGGCUCUCAAUCUUCUUGGUCACCAGGGAUGUGAUUGUAUUACAGUCUUAAUCUAUCUUCUUUACACCCAAACUAAACAGAGACGUGAGCAGUAGUGAUGACUGAACGAAGACCGAGACGGCUCCUGAAGUGAACAAGACUUAAUGAUUUUUUGUAAUAACUGUCGGGUAAUGUUUACAAGUAAAACACAGCUCAUUAAAAUACUCGAACGGAACUGACUGACUUCUUUGCAUACAAAAAAAGGUUAAAACUUUUCACAUACAAGCUGAAGUAGAUUCAUUCAUUCAUUGAUAGUAAAAGCCCCAUCAAUCAAAGCAUACACAUUAGAUCUCCCCUGUAUCUCUAUUGCGUCUCAAAGCACAAACACAAACGGAGAGAAGAGAGAUUGUGUGCGUGCGUGUUUGUGUGUGUGUGUGUUAAUGAGAGAGAUGUCCAGGAGAUCAGGCAAUUGUGUGAGGUGCUGUCUCGUAAUAUUUGCUGUAGUUUCAGCUCUAGCUGUGUGUGGACCUGCUCUGUUUUGGAGAUUUAAGAAGGGAGUUAGUUUAGGUGAUAACAAAUCUUCUUGUCCUCCUUGUAAUUGCGAUUGCCCUCCUCCUCUUUCUCUUCUCAAGAUUGCGCCUGG
rnacentral:lncRNA from 1 species